CGGCGAACGGGUGAGGAACACGUGAGAAAUCUGCCUUCACACUGGGAUAACUCCGGGAAACCGGGGCUAAUACCGGAUAUGAAAUCUGCGGGCAUCCGCGGAUUUGGAAAGUUUUUCGGUUGAAGAUGAUCUCGCGGCCUAUCAGCUUGUUGGUGAGGNNNUGGCUCACCAAGGCGACGACGGGUAGCCGGCCUGAGAGGGCGACCGGCCACACUGGGACUGAGACACGGCCCAGACUCCUACGGGAGACAGCAGUGGGGAAUAUUGGGCAAUGGAGGAAACUCUGACCCAGCGACGCCGCGUGCGGGAUGAAGGCCUUCGGGUUGUAAACCGCUUUCAGCAGGGAAGAAGCGAAAGUGACGGUACCUGCAGAAGAAGCACCGGCUAACUAUGUGCCAGCAGCCGCGGUAAUACAUAGGGUGCAAGCGUUGUCCGGAAUUAUUGGGCGUAAAGAGCUCGUAGGUGGUUCGUCACGUCGGAUGUGAAACUCUGGGGCUUAACCCCAGACCUGCAUUCGAUACGGGCGAGCUUGAGUAUGGUAGGGGAGUCUGGAAUUCCUGGUGUAGCGGUGGAAUGCGCAGAUAUCAGGAGGAACACCAAUGGCGAAGGCAGGACUCUGGGCCAUUA
rnacentral:rRNA from 1 species